rnacentral:rRNA from 1 species
UAGGGAAUAUUGCGCAAUGGGGGAAACCCUGACGCAGCAACGCCGCGUGAGUGAGGAAGGUCUUCGGAUUGUAAAACUCUUUUCUUAGGGAAAAAUGUUUUGGUGGUUAAUACCCAUCAGGAGUGAUGGUACCUAAGGAAUAAGCACCGGCUAACUUCGUGCCAGCAGCCGCGGUAAUACGAAGGGUGCAAGCGUUAUUCGGAAUCAUUGGGCGUAAAGCGCGCGCAGGCGGAUUAAUAAGUCAGGUGUGAAAUCUCGGGGCUCAACCUCGAAACUGCGCCUGAAACUAUUAGUCUAGAAUGUCGGAGGGGGCAGGGGAAUUUCACGUGUAGGGGUAAAAUCCGUAGAGAUGUGAAGGAACACCGGAGGCGAAGGCGCCUGCCUGGACGACUAUUGACGC